UACGAAGGGGGCAAGCGUUGUUCGGAAUUACUGGGCGUAAAGGGCGCGUAGGCGGCGACCCAAGUCAGAUGUGAAAGUCCUGGGCUUAACCUGGGGACUGCAUUUGAUACUGGGUUGCUUGAAUUCGGGAGAGGAUAGCGGAAUUCCCAGUGUAGAGGUGAAAUUCGUAGAUAUUGGGAAGAACACCGGUGGCGAAGGCGGCUAUCUGGACCGACAUUGACGCUGAGGCGCGAAAGCGUGGGGAGCAAACAGG
rnacentral:rRNA from 1 species